GUGCACCAGGCGCGAAACCUCCGCAAUACACGAAAGUGUGACGGGGCCAUCCCGAGUGCCGUCCGCUGAGGACGGCUUUUCCCCAGUGUACACAGCUGGGGGAAUAAGGAGAGGGCAAGCCUGGUGUCAGCCGCCGCGGUAAUACCAGCUCUCCGAGUGGUGGGGACGCUUAUUGGGCCUAAAGCAUCCGUAGCCGGCUGGGCAAGUCCUCCGUUAAAUCCAACGAUUCAAUCGUUGGGCUGCGGGGGAUACUGUCCAGCUUGGGGGCGGGAGAGGCCGACGGUAUUCCCGGGGUAGGGGUGAAAUCCUAUAAUCCCGGGAGGACCACCAGUGGCGAAGGCUGUCGGCUAGAACGCGCCCGACGGUGAGGGAUGAAAGCUGGGGGAGCGAACCGGAUUAGAUACCCCUGUAGU
rnacentral:rRNA from 1 species